rnacentral:rRNA from 1 species
CAUGCCUAGUCAGCCGGGUGUCUUCGGACGCCUAGCGAAACCGCGGACGGCUCAUUAAAUCAGUUGUGGUCUAAAUGUGCGAUUCAGUUACCAAACUGUUGGAUAACUGUGGUAAUUCCAGAGCUAAUACAUGCGACUCUAAAUCCCUAGCCUAGCGAUAGGCGACGGAUGCUUUUAUUAGACCGAGGUGAACGGCCGUGUGAUCCUUCGGGGUUGCGCGGUUCGCGAUGCUAAAGGUGACUCUGGAUAACACCAUGCUAAGCGCACGCAUCGCUAUUGUAGCGGGCGGCGCUGCCACUUUCGAGUGACUGCCUUAUCAGCUAGUAACGUUUGUUAUGCGCAAACGCUGGCUCUGACGGGUAACGGGGAAUCAGGGCUCGAUUCCGGAGAGGCAGCCUGAGAGACGGCUACCACGUCCAAGGACGGCAGCAGGCACGCAAAUUACCCAAUCCCAGCACCUGGGGGAGGUAGUGACGAAACAUACCGAUGCGGGCGUCUCUUCGGAGCGCCCGCAAUCAGAAUGGCUAUUUCCUAAACACCCUAACGAGAACCUACUAAAGGGCAAGUCUGGUGCCAGCAGCCGCGGUAAUUCCAGCUUUAGUGGCGUACACUAAAUUUGUUGAGGUUAAAAGGCUCGCAGUUGAAUGUCUGUUAAAGAGCGCAGAUGGGUCUAGACGUUGGGUUCCUCUACUGGCCUUGGUUUCUUUUACGAGUUUCCUCGCGCUACGGAGGUUUUCCCGUCUUAUCAGUACCCUCUCGCUCGAUGACAUACGGGCGCUUUCGGGGUACGUAUUAACGUACGUGCCUCGGUUGCGUGCGUGUCACCUUGAGUAAAUCAGAGUGCUUAAUGCAGUCGCAACGAAGGGUUUCCGAGCGAUCGGGAGCCCGAGGCUUGGGAGGGCGACGAGCUUACCCUCGCGGUGGCUUUAGCUUUUCCCUGUGACGGUCUUUGCUUUGCAUGGUACGUCGGAAGACGCCGCUUUACUCGUUGGUCAAUCGCGAAUUAUUUCGUAUCACGCCAGCGAGUGCGGAAUGAUGUGACAGGAACGGUCGAGGGCAUUGGUAUUGCGGGGCGAGAGGUGAAAUUCUAUGACCCCCGCAAGACCUCCUGAAGCGAAGGCGUCUGCCAAGGACGUUUUCAUUAAUCAUGAACGAAAGUUAGAGGAUCGAAGGCGAUCAGAUACCGCCCUAGUUUUAACCGUAAACGAUAUUAACCAUCGAUCCGCGUGAGCACCCUCGUUGCGAGCGUGAUAGCCUAAUAAGCGGCGUUCGUGACAGUGUGGGCUCGGCGGGCAGCUCUCCCGAAGGAAACUUUUAAGUUAGAUUCCUGGGGGAGUCUGGUUGCAAAGCUGAAACUUAAAGGAAUUGACGGAAAGGCACCACCAGGCGUGGAGCUUGCGGCUCAAUUUGACUCAACACGGGCAAACUUACCAGGCCAGCACGGUCGUACGAUUGACAGAUUGAAAGCUCUUUCUCGAUUGAGUGGAUGGUGGUGCAUGGCCGUUCUUAGUUGGUGGAGUGAUCUGUCUGGUUAAUUCCGAUAACGAACGAGACUCCCCCCUGCUAACCGGCGCUUUUAAACGCAGUAGACGGCGUGAUUUCAAGGUAAGUAGCUCUCGUGCGUGGGCUCGUGCAUUAUAUGCGCUUGUUCGUUCGCGGGAUGUCUACGGACGAGUCCGCUGAUCUCCUUGGCUCCGCUUGAGCGCCGCUUUCGAAUUUCUCUUUUCUUGUUCAUCGAUGCUUAAGGCGCGUGUGUGUGUGUGUGCUUUAGGGUAUAUACGCCGCGCGUGUGUCUGGGUAUUGACUUGCGCCGGAUUAGGGUGUUUGUUUGCGUUAGUGCGACUAGCGUCCUCGGAGAGCGUAUCUUCUUAGAGGUAUUGACAACUCUUCAAAGUUGUAAGAGACAGGGAGCAAUAACAGGUCUGUGAUGCCCUUAGAUGUUCUGGGCCGCACGCGAGCUACAAUGCCGGGUACAGCGGGUUCUUUUUCCUAUACCGAGAGGUACGGGUAACCCUAUGAAAUCCUAGUUAGAGCUUUCCGUAAGGAAAGUUCGCGUGGCUCGCUUGGGCCUGGGGCUUGCAAUUCUUUCCCACAAACGAGGAAUGCCUAGUAGUGGCGGAUCACUGAGCCCGCAGCGACUUAGUCCCUGCCCUUUGUACACACCGCCCGUCGCUACUACCGAUUGAGUGUACCAGUGAGAUCCUCGGACUGGCGAACCCAAUCACCUCGGUGCUAGGGCGAACGCUGGAAAGAGGCCCGAACUGGUGCACUAGAGGAA